UAUUGGACAAUGGGCGAAAGCCUGAUCCAGCAAUGCCGCGUGAGUGAUGAAGGCCUUAGGGUUGUAAAGCUCUUUUACCCGGGAUGAUAAUGACAGUACCGGGAGAAUAAGCUCCGGCUAACUCCGUGCCAGCAGCCGCGGUAAUACGGAGGGAGCUAGCGUUGUUCAGAAUUACUGGGCGUAAAGCGCACGUAGGCGGCUUUGUAAGUUAGAGGUAAAGCCUGGGGCUCAACUCCAGAUUGCCUUUAUCUGCAUCGCUUAAUCCAGGGGGGGUGGGUGAAUUCCAGUGAGGGGUAAAUUCGAGUUUCGGAGACACCAGUGCGAGCGCUACUGGCUGUUCAGCGUGAGCAAAUCAAUCUU
rnacentral:rRNA from 1 species